rnacentral:rRNA from 1 species
GUGCCAGCAGCCGCGGUAAUACGGAGGUGCGAGCGUUAAUCGGAAUUACUGGGCGUAAAGGGCGCGUAGGCGGUCGCGCAAGUCGGGUGUGAAAGCCCCGGGCUCAACCUGGGAAUUGCAUUCGAUACUGCGUAACUAGAGUCUGGUAGAGGGAAGCGGAAUUCCGCAUGUAGCGGUGAAAUGCGUAGAUAUGCGGAGGAACACCAGUGGCGAAGGCGGCUUCCUGGACCAAGACUGACGCUGAGGCGCGAAAGCGUGGGGAGCAAACAGGAUUAGAUACCCUGGUAGUCCACGCCCUAAACGAUGAGGACUAGACGUUGGGGGGAUAAAACCCUUUAGUGUCGCAGCUAACGCGUGAAGUCCUCCGCCUGGGGAGUACGGCCGCAAGGUUGAAACUUAAAUGAAUUGACGG